UCUCUGUUCGUAUAGUGGUUAGUAUGUGAGCUUGUCAUCUCCCCGACAUCGCUCGAGACCGGGGUUCAAUUCCCCGACAGAGAG